rnacentral:rRNA from 1 species
AUUGAACGCUGGCGGCAGGCCUAACACAUGCAAGUCGAGCGAGCGGCGGACGGGAGAGUAAUGUAUGGGGACUGCCCGAUAGAGGGGGAUAACUACUGGAAACGGUGGCUAAUACCGCAUACUAGCGGCUAACCCAUAUGGGAUUAGCUAGUAGGGGGGGUAAAGGCUCACCUAGGCGACGAUCCAUAGCUGGUCUGAGAGUAUGAUAAGCCACACUGGGACUGAGACACGGCCCAGACUCCUACGGAGGCAGCAGUGGGGAAUAUUGCACAAUGGGCGCAAGCCUGAUGCAGCCAGGCCGCGUGUAUGAAGAAGGCCUUAGGGUUGUAAAGUACUUUCAGUGGGGAGGCGUUACCCGCAGAAGAAGCACCGGCUAACUCCGUGCCAGCCGCCGCGGUAAUUC